CCAAAGGCCCUUUUCAGGGCCACCCACGUUCUCACUUAAAAGAGCU
rfam:Monodelphis domestica chromosome 2, whole genome shotgun sequence.